CUAGCUGUAAACGAUGGAUACUAGGCGUUGAGAGUAUCGACCCUCUCAGUGUCGUAGCUAACGCGUUAAGUAUCCCGCCUGGGGAGUACGCGCGCAAGCGUGAAACUCAAAGGAAUUGACGGGGGCCCGCACAAGCGGUGGAGUAUGUGGUUUAAUUCGAUGCAACGCGAAGAACAUUACCAGGGCUUGACAUGUCCGGAACCCUGCCCAAAGGCGGGGGUGCCUACGGGAACCGGAACACAGGUGGUGC
rnacentral:rRNA from 1 species